UCUUAAAUAUGAAGAGGAGAUAUGUGAUCGAUCGAUCUAUUCAGAAAACACACUGACGUCUAGCUAUCUAACGUCGUUAUUGUAUCAGAUAUGAGUCUACGCUUGCUAGUUCGCUGUUUGCAGAACAUUGGAGGAAAAACAACGACGGUCACUGAUCUAGUUAAGGUUAGCUAGUUACUGAGACGGGAAUAGCCUUCACAUGUUGUAGAUUAUACAUCCUCUGUGGCUACUGACUAGGUGGAGGACGUGGAAAAAAAAGAAGCCAUAGGCGCAUCCUGGUUAGCUCGACCUGACGCUUCCCUGGCUGGUAGUCGUUCUAGUAGCUUAAACACUGACAUAGGAUGUUGGGGACAAAUUUCAACGUUAUACAGAUUACCUGGGAUAGGUUUUCUUCAAUUAUUUGACAUGGAGGAGGGUCGGGGAAUCCAACUGUAAACUUCCGCCUGUAUGAGGAAAAAGGAUAAUAGUACUGCUGGAUAGGCCUCAUCUUGGACAACUGAAAUAAUCCCCAAAAUUGCCACCAAGAGAGGCACUGGGAUCUGGCGAAGCGUUGUCCGCAGAUGGAGCACUGAUGCGGUUUCUCCUUGGUGUGGGUCAGUAGGUGGGUGUUGAGGUUCCCUCUGAUCGUGAA